UCCGCCCUAUUUCUUCUUUCAGUUCUUUGAGCCCAUAACUCCAUCUCGAUCUGAUACCCCCCGAUGAUUACCCAGAUCUCCUCCUCUUUCCAUCACCUCCUUGAGCUGUUCUCCUCUCUAGAUCUACCAAAUUCAGCAGAAUACAACCGACGACUAAAUGAGCCUAUUUAGGUCAACUCCAUCGAGUUUAUCAGGAGAUCUACCAACCAGUCGUUCCUCAAGACGAGCUUGAGUCCACUUUAUCCAAGGCUAUUUACAAUCUAGAGACGUCGAUGAUUAAGAAGAAGAACGACUGAGAGCUAGAGAGAGAGAGAGAGAGAGAGAGAGAUAGCGUUUGUUUGUUUGGUUUGUACGAAUAGAUAGACGGAUCAAAGGGAAAUUCCCUGCUCAUCAUCUGAAUACGGGGUCAACUGGGUUUUGAUUUCAUCUUAUUUUUGAGAUUUCGUUCCCACCUUUACUUCUUUUCUGAUUCAUUUUUUUUUUCUUAUAUUGCUUUUGCAGGGAAGUUUGAGUAUCUUAGAGGCAAGGGUUGCAAAUUUGUAGGUAAUUGGGUUUUGAUAAUGUUAUGGGCUCAAGCAGGGUUGAUGAGGAUGCUGAACCUGUUUUACAAUACGGACACAGAGAUUCACCCUUAAUAUUUGAACUCGAGGCUACUUUGAAAUUGGCAAGGUUCCUUUGCAGUUGGAAUUAGCAAGAUUUUUUUUUAAAGGAUGACAGACCUGUAUUUGGAAGGUACUUGGGUGAGCCAGACAGAAUUGUCAGGAAGUUGUUGCAGCCUGGGGUCUAUCUGAAAUUGAUUGAUUUGGGUCUUGAGGGUACUUACAACUUUUGAAGACUUGGGGAUAUGGGUGGAUGUCUUUGCUACUAGUGAAGUCAGUAUUUGCUUGAGGUUGGAGCCAUCAAAACUUUGGAGCAGAUAGCUUAUUCAGCAGGCAAGCGUAUGAUAUCAUGCUCCAUGUUCACUGCUUGGAACUUGACCAUGUUGUGGAAGAACUGGAGAAAAUUGUUGUUGUCAAUCUUCUUCAGCAUUGAUCAAUAAUAUCUCUCAUUGGAGAUGUGCAUAAAUGAUCACUAAUAUUAGAGAAGGUGUUGUACUGUGUUUUGCCAAGUACUUAGAAAGCAUUCCUUAUUGUCUUUUGUUCCCUGGUUGAUGACAAUAAGUGGUGUUCAAUUGAUCAAAGAGGUUUAUCAGCUAUAUAUGUAUUUUAAUCUGGUAUUCAU